ensembl:rRNA 5S_rRNA 5S ribosomal RNA
GUCUCCGGCCAUAUCAGCCUGAAGGCGCCCGAUCUCGUCUGAUCUCGGAAGCUAAAAUGAAGAGCUCUGUGAGAGGCUUCGGGGUGGAGAACGCCAGGCGCAGAGUGUAGUUCAGCGGGUCGGGGCGUCGGCGGCU